UACUAAAAGUUCUGCACAGCUGCAGUGGCAAUGGCUGGGGUGGUGAGGGUGUCAGUCCUCGCCUUUGAAUUGACAUUCCAGAUGAGAAACAGCUCCUGCCAUGUUUGGUUCUAAUCAUCCACAUUUUAUACCUGAGACAUGAGGAGUUGGACAGAUCUGUCUGAAAUAAAUAACAGCAAUCAUGGAUGGAUUCCCAGGCUUCCUUCAGCCAGCAGCUGUGCACAUCCAGCAAAGCCUCAGGAUGUCUGAUCAUGCUUCAAAGGCCACUGCUGAGAUCCAGGCUGUCUGGACUGCUGCCUUCAUUUCUGCUUCCCAUCUUUCAGUGGGUGUGAACCAACGUGCUUGGGACAGGUUUUCCCCAGCAGUACUAAACAACGAAUAAGGGAAGACUUUGUUUACUGAAAAUAAACUUCAAAAGCAUAGUAUUUUAAGUGAUUCUCGAAGGCUUUUCAAGUUUGUGUAAACAGCGAGUGCGGCUCGCCCCGUGCUGCUGCGCUGCGUGCGGUGCCAGCUGCGCUCUGCGGGCAGGGGGAGCUCCGCGCCGGGGCCCUGCCGGCGCCUCAGAGAUGGACGGACAGCGCCGACAGUGUUUAGGGCAAUUGUUCCAUCAACCCAUUUUCUUCUUGCAAAAACUGAGAGCUUUAGAUCACUCUUGAGUGUAAGGUCG